rnacentral:lncRNA from 1 species
AAGAGGGUUUGCGGUUGCUUAGAUUUGAGGAUCUUGGAGGCUUGGAGGAAGAUGUGAGUUGAGGCAUUUGAGGAGUGGUAUGAAGUUGAAAUUGAAGAUCUUGAGUGAUACAGAUAUCAGAGUGUGAUGAAUUUGGGAUGCAAAAGGUGAAAUUUUGUUCAAAGGUUUGCAUGGUAUAAUUGAAGUGAGGAGGGUUUGUGAAGUUGGAAAGGUGGAGAAUUGAAUUGGUUGAGUGGAAAAUGGAGAGUGAGGGUAUAUAAAUGUGAAAAAGGGGUAAGAAAGAUUGAAGGAAAUGAAGAAGUGGGUUGGUUUCGAAGAUGGUGGGAGGAAACAUCGUUUUGUUAAAACUAUCAAUAAUUGAGGUUAGAAGAAAUGUCACGUCUUAUGUUUAUUGUCGUUUUUGGAAUUUUCAAAUGUCAAAUUGACUUGUGUUGUUUUUUUUUGGGACCUUUUGUUCGAGAGAUGACCCUUCGAGGCUACUUCGUGAUCGUGGAUAUCAAGUAAAAAGGUUUAUUUAAUUUCAAGUUGAAUGUUAUAUGUAGCUGUGUGCUGUUUCCAAUGUGCAAAAAAGAAAUAUAAAUACGUCAUAUCUGAUUACGAUUGAGAAGAUUAUAGAAUGAAUAUGUUCAAUGUAUUCUUUCUAUUAAAUUCCUGAGUUGCUUAAUCGGACAGGAAGAAUUGGUGAGUAGAAUCAUGUUUACGAAACCAUUACCUAUG